GGUAGUUAGACACGUGGCUCAUGGAGCUGAUGCCUUGCUCAACGGCACCUCCAUAGUAGUAGCUGUCAGCAGCUCUUCUGAUCAGCCACAGCUGGUGUCAGGUACACUAAUUAGAUACAGACAGGUACAGGUGUCGUUCAUUAAAGGUCCCAUAUUGUAAAAGAAGUGACAUUUUCAUGACUUUUAUAUUAUAAAAGCAGGUUUUUAAGUGCUAUAUCCUCCUGGGUACCGAGUUAA